rnacentral:lncRNA from 1 species
UUGUUGGCUGACAUAUUUUUUAUUUUAUGACAUAAAUUUGUACUUAAACUAUUGAUUUGAUCAAUAAAUGAUAAUUUUUUUUUCUAUUCAAGUGUUAUGUGUCCUUGAAUCAUCCAUGAAAUUGAUGUUAUGAUAUAUAUUCUCAAGUGUUGAGAAUUAGAGGCAUGUAUAAUCAAUUCCUAAAUUACUCCCGAUCAUAGGAUAGUUAUGAAAAUGGUGAUCAAUCCAGAUAGAUCGAUACACAGUUUGCUUCCUUCGAGGUAGAUAAGUUUCUAGUCUACAGUGUAGAUGAAGGGAAUAAAAGUCUGUUUCUAAUAGAUAAUUAGGGUUGCAUCUAGAAUUUUUUAUAUGUUGAACUAAACAAAGAUCAAAUCUUUACUUGGAUUACAACAGAAUAGGGAUCAAAUCUUCAAAAUCUAGAUUCAAAUUCUCAUAUAGGCCUGGAUCUGUAGGCUCUCUAUUUUGCACGUACACCAAGCUCCACAGAAAAGCAGGAUAAAGCCUCGGAUUGAAGUACCUUCAUAAGGCCAUCAAGGGAGGAGAGAGAGCUACUGGUGUGAUGCCUCACACCAACAAGGAGGAUGCCCAA